rnacentral:rRNA from 1 species
GACGAACGCUGGCGGCGUGCCUAAUACAUGCAAGUUGAGCGAUGAAGCUUGGUGCUUGCACCAAUUUGAAGAGCAGCGAACGGGUGAGUAACGCGUGGGGAAUCUGCCUUUGAGCGGGGGACAACAUUUGGAAACGAAUGCUAAUACCGCAUAACAACUUUAAACAUAAGUUUUAAGUUUGAAAGAUGCAAUUGCAUCACUCAAAGAUGAUCCCGCGUUGUAUUAGCUAGUUGGUGAGGUAAAGGCUCACCAAGGCGAUGAUACAUAGCCGACCUGAGAGGGUGAUCGGCCACAUUGGGACUGAGACACGGCCCAAACUCCUACGGGAGGCAGCAGUAGGGAAUCGUCGGCAAUGGACGAAAGUCUGGCCGAGCAACGCCGCGUGAGGGAAGAAGGGUUUCGGAUCGUAAAACUCGGUUGGUAGAGAAGAACGUUGGUGAGAGUGGAAAGCUCAUCAAGUGACGGUAACUACCCAGAAAGGGACGGCUAACUACGUG